rnacentral:rRNA from 1 species
AUUUUUUUAAAUUUUGGGAUAGAGUCAAAUUUGACGGUGGGCCCAGCCCUUACAAAUGCAAGUGGAGCGGGGGAAGGUAUCUUCUUUCGGGGCCGAGCGGCGGACGGGUGAGUAAUACAUAGGAAUCUGCCUAUUAGUGGGGGACAACAUAUGGAAAGGGAUGCUAAUACCGCAUACGUCCUACGGGAGAAAGCAGGGGAUCUUAAGACCUCGCGCUAAUAGAUGAGCCUAAGUCGGAUUAGCUAGUUGGUGGGGUAAAGGCCCACCAAGGCGACGAUCUGUAGCGGGUCUGAGAGGAUGAUCAGCCACACUGGGACUGAGACACGGUCCAGACUCCUACGGGAGGCAGCAGUGGGGAAUAUUGGACAAUGGGGGSAACCCUGAUCCAGCCAUACCGCGUGGGUGAAGAAGGCCUUAUGGUUGUAAAGCCCUUUUGUUGGGGAAGAGAUCCCUUUAGUUAAUACUUGGAGAUGAUGGCGGUUCCCAAAAAAAUAACCCCGGGUUAAUUCGGUCCCACCACCCCGGGUAAUCCAAGGGGUCCAACGUUUAUUGGAAUUUCUUGGGGGUAAACGGUGGUUGGUGGUGGUUUUAAUUUGGAUGAAAAUCCCGGGCUCAACCUGGGAAAUUCCGUUGAUUCUGGGUCAGUAGAGGUUGGGGAGAGGAUGGUAGAUUUCCAGGUAACAGUUGAAAUCGUAGGAUCAGAAGGGACAUCCGAUGCGAAAGGCACAUCAUCUGGCAUAAUCUUGCCGUGAAGGUCGAAAACGUGGGGGAGCAACAGGGAAGAUUCCCUGGGUAGUCCACCCGUAACGAUGCUAUCYUGACCGGGGGGCCCUGAGCACCCAGUAUCGCAGCUAACGCGAUAA